AUAUGUUGUUUCAAGCCCCCUGCCUCUAGAAGCAAGUGUAACCCAAACCUCCUCAAGCCUCCUGCGUUUACAUGGAUGGGGACCCAACUGGCCCUGCUCCUGCCUCACCACUACAGAACUCUGAUGAUAGAAGAAAAGUAUAGAGCUGACAUUCAAGGAAAAUCCAGAAAAUGAAUUCCUUUUUUUAUCUUUGGGCUGAGCAGUGCCAAUGAAUAAGAUAGCCUUGAGCCCUAGAAUCCUUUCGUCAGGAAAAGUCCAGGUACAGAAUUGUCUGGACCCUUGGAGUUGCCUUUCUGGAGUCUUGGUUUCCAGGUGA